UGCACAUGGACUUGACUCUAUGGAUGGCCUGUCAGCCCUGUAAGGGUCACCUCCUGCUUCUUUCCUAUCAGCCCUCAGCUCUAACCAGACUGGCUCAACCUGACCCUCAGUCCUGGAUUGCUGUUCUCCAGAGCCCAGGGCUUCCUGGUUGAGAUUCCAUUGUGAACUUCAUUUCUCCUCCUGUUGCUUAAUCCUGCCCUCAGCUCUGGCCCCCCUCUUUGACGGUGGCGAUCUUGGAGGUGAAUGGGUGACCCUUGCUGGAUGCGCAUGUAUUCAGAUGCAGCAGCUCACCUUCCUUUGGUGCUUUCCUACCUCUGGGACUUCAUAUAGCAUUCCUAACCUUUCUUACAUCAGGACCUCAGAUAAGCCCCAGUCCAAGCAUCUGGUUAUACCUUCUGAUGAUUAAUCUGCGUCUCCCAGAGCCACCAUGGGAAGUGGUCCAUGUUGUGAACUACUCAAGGGCCAAGAGUGUGAGUGGGGGCUGAUAGUCAGCUGGCAUUCUGCUCAUCAAUAUUGCUCAGGGCCUGGAGGAAGAGGACUGGAAAUGAUGAACUCUACAAGGCCGUCCCAACUGAGAACCUGGGUCCAUGAGCUGCAACACAUAUCUGGCCCCCACCCCAGAUGUGCAGCCGUCCCAGCAGCCAGAGACCGGCUCACCCCACCCAGAUCGCCGGCCAGCUGCAGCCCCCUGUUUCCCAGGGAAGAGAACUAAUAAAGGACAGUCUCGGA